GCCCGGUUAGCUCAAUCGGUAGAGCGUGAGACUCUUAAACGAGUACGCAAUCUCAAGGUUGCGGGUUCGACCCCCGCAUUGGGCU
rfam:Stachybotrys chartarum IBT 40288 unplaced genomic scaffold scaffold987, whole genome shotgun sequence.